CAACGAAUGUGCCAUGUUCGCUGUUAGAGCUCUGGUGAGCGUCUGAAGUGCAGACACAUAUUCAAAGACGAGGAAUAAGAGGAACAAACAGACGUAAUGGGCAGGAAAACAUUUAGGAGGGUGUGUAAUCUUGUUAUGUCAGCCAAAGAAGCUCAAACUGGAUGCAGUGUGGUUAAUAUGUUUGGAAGAAAGCCGUCCGUCUCUCAGGAUCUUUAGCUGGAAAGGUCAAAGAUGGAAACUGGAAGCAGGAACUCUGAAGUGUGCCAAAAAAUUGCCACAAACUACAGAGGUAAUGAGACUGAAAUUGCAGUGCUAUGCUGUGAAGGGAACACCAGUGAAGAGGUUGAAAAGGAAUCAUCUACAGAUCUUCAGAGACACCCCAUGAAUCCUGAAGAGAACCAAAGUCAGUUUCUACAGAAGCUGACUGCUCUGAAGGAGACUUUGUCCGCUUCGGUCAGCUGCUUCAGGUGUACUCUGAAACCUGACGAAGGAGGCAACCAUGAUGAAGAUCAAUAUCAUUCAGUUACAAUCUUUAACAAACACACCAGAGAUUCUAUGGAUCGAAACACCGUCUGUGGCACUUCAGCUACAGGAAUAAAUCGAUGCAUUUAUGGAGGACUUAUGGAAAACAGAAGUGCAACAUUAAAUCCCAACAUUAUUGUUGAGGCAAACCCAAAGUCUUCAAGGUUAGAAAGUGCUUUGGUUCAGGACCGUUUUGGAGAAACUAGUGAGUGUACUGCUGAGGAAAUAAUAGUUCUAGCUAAUGAACAUGCUGUUGAGAAUAUAACCCCAACACAUAUACUUAAAAAGAAAUAGAAAAUGCCACCAUCCUGAUAUACAGUAGUAACAGCGUGUGAAGGAAACCAGGAGACUCUGAAGCUCCAGAAAAUCUCCAGGUGUAAGUGAUGACAUGAAAGGGACUCCAAAGGAAAUCUAAGUGGAGGGAUUCAGAUGAUCCCACGUUCUCUGUGAGUCACAUUUCUCCAAAUGUGAACAAUUUUCACAAACAGUAACGGACAUCAAGGAGAAGUGCGUCAGAGCAUCCAGCAGCGAGGGGACGAGAUCAGACUUUAUGCAACGUUUAACGGUGACUCAUUCUCAAUUCACCUCAACCCUGCCGGAGAAAAUGACACGGGCCCAAAUGGGAAACAAAAUAGCAGCAGGCACUGUGACUGAUGAUGCUGUUGUUAUGGAGAAUGUACAGUUGGAGGCUCUGAUGCUGCUCUCUCUGUCAGAACUGUACACACUGAGCAACGGUGGGAGGAAAUUCAGCGUUUUCUGCUGUCCAUAUGGAUUUCCACGUCUGGCACAGUUGCUAACAAUAUUUCACAGUGUUUUUCACUGAUUACCAACACAAGACAACAUACAACCAUAAAAAGGAUAAACCUUAAACCUUAAAAUUGUAAUUUGUUUUAAGGACGUGUUCUUUUCUUUGUCUACAAGGGAAGCUUUCAGCCUCUUGGUGCUGCUACAGGAAGGGAAUUCAGUGGCAACUUUGAUACAUAACCUUUUCUGGUCAGCUAUUCAGAUAUUCAGCCUAGUUUUUUAAAAUAUGAAUUAAUUUAGGAAUAUAUGACAUGCAGUACAAAACUGACAAGGCAUUAAAGCAACAAUGCUUUCUUUUUUUAUCUAAAUAUUUUGUCAAGAAGAAUAUAAAUACCAUUCAAUAUGGUGCCGCCUUCAGCUUAGCUUAGCAUAAAUAGUGGAAACAGGUGGUAACAGAUAGCCUGGAUCUGUGCAAAGGUGACAGAAUCCACCUCUUCUAAAUCUCAGUGAAGCGCACAUUAUAUCUAUUUGGGUUAAUACAUUCAAGGCUGUUGUUUAUUUAUUGGCUGAGUGUUACUUGGCCCUGCAGGAAACAGGGCAGACAUACGAGCAUAUUUCACUAUUUGACUUAGAACAAGAAAAGCACUACUCUACCAAGGCUGUUCUUUUGCCUAUAUUGUAUUGUCAGAAAUGCAGCAUUUUAUAGAAAUGCAUUUUUUAUAAGAUAUCCACUAUUUGUUUAUUUAUUAGUUCUUGAUGAUUAAAAAUCAUGGCAACAUAGAAUGUGUCCAUUUAAUAUAGAUGUACCCACAAACAAAAUGACCUUUCACUGAGCACAGGUGUGUGUUAUGCAUGUGUACAUUAGGUACAGAUACCAAAUCACCUGACCUAAAUAUGUAGCAACCGGUGGGAAUUGAUGGGACUUGGAAACACCCCCACAAUUUAAUCAAUUGUUUCUUGUAUCAUUUUCAACGGAUAAGUCCACAGCGGUCGAUAAGAAGUAGGAUCGCAAUCAUGUGAUCAUCAGCAGGCAGCUGACGUGAUAUUCACUUGUUGUCAUUGUUACAGUGACACCGUGCAGCUAUCUUGCAAUGAUACAGAAAUCUUGAACAAAUCCAUGGAUCUAGACUAUAAGCCACAUCACUGCCAAAAUCUAACCCUUUGGUCCUUUCUGACAUUCGGACAUUUCUGACCUUCCCUGAAAAUUUCAUCAUCAGUGAAUCCAUUUUGGAGUAAUGUUGCUAACAGACAGACAAACCAACACAGAAUGUCACAUAACUCCGCCCAGUCCCUUGGCAGAGUAACUAGAUGGAGAUUUUCCUCUAGUUUCAAGAUUUGGCAUUUAACCAGAAAACACUUAAACCCAUCUAUGCCAGUUGAAAUUGUGCUUUCUGAACAGCCAGAUGGUAACUAUCUCAACUGACCAUUCAGCUCAUCCUCGUAGCACCUUGGGAGAUUUUCUUAAGCACCACCUUAAUGUUUGCACACAUACGAAAAUUUUCUUAUGACUAUGAAGCAUAUUUAAGCUGCCUGAAACCUUUCUGGAUUUGAAUAAACUUACCCACACCACUGCUAAGAAAUGGCUUGUUGCCUGUUCCUAUCAAAACCUUCCAUCAUCAUAGCAUGUCUUCAUACAGCUGUCUCUGUUAUUCUGACUGCAUUAUUUAUAUAAUACUGUCUAUGAAAUGGGUUAGAUGUAUUGAUCUAAAUCCUUUCGUUGCAUAUUUUCUUCUAUUUUAUGUUGUAGGGAUUUAACAGUGGAGACAUGCUGUUGUACAUUACAUAGUUUUAAAAUGUUUUGGUGUAGAAGCUGACACUGUUAUGAUGGAGUCUGCCACACACUUUGUAUUGAUGUGAAUAAAUUCUGAACCAGUCUUA